rnacentral:rRNA from 1 species
UGGGGGAUAUUGCACAAUGGAGGAAACUCUGAUGCAGCAACGCCGCGUGAAGGAUGAAGGUCUUCGGAUUGUAAACUUUUGUACUGGGGACGAUAAUGACGGUACCCAAGCAGCAAGCUCCGGCUAACUACGUGCCAGCAGCCGCGGUAAUACGUAGGGAGCAAGCGUUGUCCGGAUUUACUGGGUGUAAAGGGUGCGUAGGCGGCUAUGCAAGUCNGUUGUGAAAACUAUGGGGCUCAACCCAUAGCCUGCAAUUGAAACUGCGUGGCUUGAGUGAAGUAGAGGUAGGUGGAAUUCCCGGUGUAGCGGUGAAAUGCGUAGAGAUCGGGAGGAACACCAGUGGCGAAGGCGACCUACUGGGCUUUAACUGAC